AGACUUACAUUUUAGUGUGGGAAUAAACUGAGUUUGUUGUUGUUGCUCACUUUCAUCUACUUUUUCUUCCUAUAGACUAGAACUUUCUGCGCCCUCAUCAUUAACUUUGUUUGUUCGUUUGUGUGUUUGGACUCCUCAUCUUCAGGUUUUAUUUUAAUUUGCUCUCAUCGUCUUCUGAUUUCACCAUUCAUUGUAUUGAUGGUUGCAAUUUCAAGGUUUCGUCCAGAUUGAUCUGAGUAAUUGUCAAUAGAUGAAAAUCAAUUAGUAAUGUCAAUAGAUAAUUUGUACUGUUGAAUGUUUAUUAUUUGUUGUUGUUGUACUAAUUUCUCUGUAGGUAUAGAAAAGAUCAAAUCUGUGUUUGAGGCUGGGACCCCCGCAAUUGGAGAAACAAUUGGGCUUGGAGCUGCAAUUGAUUAUCUGUCUGAAAUUGGCAUGCCACAGAUUCAUGAUUAUGAGAUGGAGCUGGGUAGUUAUCUGUAUGAUCGUCUGUCUUCUGUAUCUGAUGUUGGUAUUUACGGCUCUGCACCUUCACUAACUGUUAAGCAAGCAGCUCUUUUUUCUUUCAACGUCAAAGAUGUUCACCCUACAGAUAUUGCAACCUUCCUUGACCAACAGGUAUGAGAACUAAAACUUCAUCCUUGCUCUUGCAUAUCUACAACUUAACUCUUGCAAAAAUGCGGGCAUUUGUAAGCCAGCCCUGAGCACGCGUACUAUCGGUUAAAAGAUCAUGUAAAUGAAAUAUUUCUAAAUAACAAUGUUUCCUGCCGCAUGGUGUAGCUAUUAGAUCAGGUCACCAUUGUGCGCAACCUCUCCAUCGUCAUUUGGGAAUCAUCUCAAGCGUCUUCAUUUCUACAACACUAAAGAUGACGUUGACAGAUUCAUCGACGCGUUCAAGGAAACAGUCAACUUUUUCACUUCUUUCAAAUGAGGUCUGGUGGUGAAUGUGAGAUCCAGAGGACCAUGUUAGAGUUGUUGAACCAGCUAGAUGGUUUUGAUUCCAGAGGAGAUGUUAAGGUGAUUCUUGCUACAAAUAAAAUCUCGAGUCUUGAUUCUGCCCUUCUGUGACCUGGUACAAUAGACAGGGAGAUUGAGUUCCCUCUUCCUGAUAUUAAAACAAGGAGGCGGAUUUUCCAGAUUUGGUAUUAUGAUGUAAGCAAUUAUUACUAACUGAUGAAUCCUGGAUUGCCUCCUAUUUGCUGACUUGAAAAUCUAUUUUGAGAUAUCAGAUACACACCACAAGGAUGACUUUGGCUAAUGAUGUCAACCUAGAAAAAUUUCUUAUGACCAAGGAUGAAUCCAUUUUGGUUUCCACAUAAGCUUUCUUGUUCUGAGCUUCCCACAAUCUGGCUACUACCGAAGUCACUCCCACCUUUUCUGGGAUAUAUGGUCACUUCAUGUGGCUUUUACUGUAUCUUAUAUCAAUAAAACUGUAGAAUUAUUUGUUCUAUCAUCUCACGCGUAUCUCCAUUCUUCGUCUGGCUUUUAGAAAUUUCCCUUUCACUUUAUUUUAUCUCUUCAAGUAUGCUCCUUUAAUUCAUUGCCUUAAAUUUUCUACUUCUUGUUUCCUUCGUCUCGUGUACAAUUCAUGUAACGUGAGCUUUUAUAUCGUUAGAGAGAUUUUAUAAUAAUUGUUGGUAAAGGGUAAGUCACUGAAUGAGAAUAAAAAGGUGUUUGGAUCUGAGCAACAUAACAAAUAAUUCCUUCGUUUUUCUUUUCCAUUUUUUAUGUUUAUGCUUGCUUUGUAGUCUCUAAUGUUAUAUGUUGAAGUGGCAUUUUUAAUUGAUGAAGUUUUGGAAUGACGUACUUAUAGCAAAUUUUAAAUUUCAAAGUUUAUGUUUAUCUGGGAAAGGGGCGGUGCUAGGCAUAGUAGAAAAGAUGACGCUGUUUACUGAAAAAAUAGUGUUUGUCGCUCAUUCUUUCUAGUCUUGCUUAUAGGAUAUUGGCAAGUUUAUAUUAAGGGACCAUUUGCAUCUGGAACUACCAGACUCAGGGUACUGGUGUUCGGGUGUUUUUUUAUGCUGAUAUAAAGAAAUUUUGCUACUGGGUUAUAGCAAAUCGCACCAAGAUCUAUAUUAUCUUGGAAUUUAUCACAGGCGGGGAACUGUUUGAUAAGAUAGUCGACCAUGGACGAUUAAAUGAGUCCCGAGUCUCGCAGAUACUCAGCAAUUGAUUGAUGGAGUUGAUUAUUGUAACAUCAAGGGAGUUUAUCAUAGAGACCUAAAGCCUGAAAAUCUUCUGCUCGAUUCCCAAAGAAUUUUGAAAAUAUCAAAUUUUGGACUUAGUGCAUCACCUGGCGAAGUAAGAUCCCCAAAACGUUACCUUUGUUUCUCUAUUAACAAGAAAACGACAAUAUCGGUGCAAGUGUUUGUGCUGCUAACUGCUGCCAAUGAUGUUCUAAUAGGGAGUAAGACUACAUGUGGAACUCCCAACUAUGUUCCACCAGAGUUUUACUAGGUUCUUAGUCAUAAAGGUUAUGACGGUGCUGUGGAAGAUAUCUGAUCCUGCAACGUCAUCCUUUAUGUUCUGAUGGCAGGUUCUCUCUCCUUUGUUGAGGUUGAUCUUACUACACUGUGCGCAAAGAUUGACAAAGCAAACUUUUUCUGCCCGUCUUGGUUUCCUGUUGGAGCAAAAUCUCUAAUACAUCGAAUUUUAGACCCAAACCCUCAAACAGUGAGUACUUAAUCAGAGAAUGUCAACAUAUUAUAUUGUACCUUUAAAAUUAUUCAUUUUGGAGGCUUAAUCCAUCUCAAAGCAUUUGACCAAUGGACUUGUAAAAGAUUGUAAAUUAUCCAUUCUGUGUAGUAUUUAUUAACAAACUUGUCAAACUUUGAAGCAAGAAAGGAACUUUAGCAUAAA